rnacentral:tRNA from 1 species
CACUACAGAAGCUAAACUGGACAGCACUAGCCUUUUAAGCUAGAGAAGAGAAAUGACCAACUCUCCUUAGUGA